ensembl:lncRNA
CAUUGAACUUCAACCAUAGUUUUAAAUUAGAAAUGAUCAGAAGCCCUUCAUUACAGCUGUAGCGAUUUGUCUUGUGUGAGAGGAUGUUAAAAUUCAGUACUGAGCUGAAACAGUCUUUAUGACUUCAUAUAUGACUUCACAGCUUCAAAAUUCCACUCUGAUACAGCCUGAAUCUCUCUCUCUCUCUCUCUUUCUCUCUCCGUCUACCUCCACUCACUCGCUCGCUCGUUCUUUCUGUCUGGCCAAGCCUCGGGUAGAAAAAUGUAGCAUAGCUUUGACAGCUAUCCCUGAUGGUUAUUUUUGGAUUCCAGGAGAAACUAUCACUAAAUGUUGUACGAGAGAUAUGUACUGUGAAGACGCUCAGAUCAUGUUCCUGCAACGCAGUUUGAGUUUGAUCUUCCAUUAUCAUCUGAUUUUUCAGGGGAUCCACUGGUUAGCAAGAGAUGUAUUUCUACAUUUCUCCAAAUCUAUUCCACUGAAGAAAUAAACUCUACAUCUUGGAUAACCUGUGGGGCCAGUGAGGGAAAGAGAGUUUCAGUGGAGGAAAUCCUGCCAUCAUCUGAGACCCAGUCCCCCAUGAGAAAUGAUUCCUGGCACGCUUGCUGGGACCAGAGGCUGGAGAUAUAUGCUCAUACUGUAAUUACGGGAUGUAUGGAGCAUGACCUGUCAGACUGAGGGAAGUGCCUUGAUCGCUCCUUCAUCCUUCUCUCUUUCUCUCCGCACUGAUGUGUGUCCACAGCCCACUCUUGAACCAUCUGGAGGAGUGUGUGUGUUGUAUUGAGGAUGACAGGAGCUCUGACUCUCGCUGUGGGUCACUGUCAGACAGGCAGCAGGUGUUACGCAGAUUCUCCAGCCACACGAAUCCACAUUCUCAUGCAUGUUUACUCAUUUGAUCAACAUUCAUGGUCACUUGCUGAUUCAAAUUCUGAAUAUUAAAAUUAGGCCGCAAAAAGUCAUAGGUCAUAAUGUGUUUUUUUUUAAUAAAUUAUAUCAAUUUUAGGAGUCAUUAAAAAUUCUAAAAAUGAAAACCACUUACAAUGUUAGUCAGUAAUUCAUAAUUUAGUUUUACAUCAGCACUUUGCACUCUUUCUCUGCCCCUUACAUUUAAAUUGGCCUUUUUUUGGCUGCUGUGCCUUUUAGACUUCUAUACAAAUGCCCUUUUCACAUGUGAAAUGAGCAACCACGCUCUGCUGUCGGAUCCAAUAUAGUGUUUAACUGUUCCAUCCUUCAAUAACAAGCUAUUUGCAAAGCCUGAAAUUACAUUGUGACGCUCGAACUGUUAAGGUCACACGGAUGUGACUAUUUCAGGGUUAAAUUUAAAAAUACUCUGUUUCGAAACAUCAGGGAAAAUUUGAUAAUGACCCCUUUAACCCUACUGCAUUAUAUUUGAUACACAUUUCUAAGGCCUCUAAAUGAUGAACAUGAUCAUUUCUUCAAAGAUGCUUUCUGUCGUCUGAUUGAUAAAUUUAUACUUUUUAAAAAGCCUUUUAGUAUAAUUUAACAAACGUGCAUCUUCAGCUCGUGCUCCAUGUGUCUACUGACUUUUAUCAAGUAAACAUAAGAAUAACUUUGAUAUUGUUACUAGUAUUUCAAGAUAAACAUUGGACUGAGGAGACUUAGCUUUUGCUUAUUCACUCAUCAUUUUUUAGAAAAUAUUAAAAUGCAGUUAUCAAAUAUGAUCAUUCAGGCUUUUGAGGAAUGUCUGUUUGCUCAUCUCUCAAUGUGUUUUCAUAAAAAAAAUUGGCAUUUCAAUAUUCUUACUAAGAAUAAGAUAUAGAUUGACAACUAAUAUUUCUGUAAUUUUAUGUAAGGUAUCUGCUAUACUGUUUUCUCAUUGACUUACAUAACAAGCUUUCAAAAUUUUAUCCUGCUUUUUGUCUAUAUAAAUAUCAGCAUCUGCACCAAACUGCAAGUUUUGCUCAGUUUGUGCCUCUGAAUAAAACUGAGCUGUUUUCCCUCCAUAUUCUCACUAUGUCAUACUAUAUGAACCAUAAAUGAACUAUAUGAACCACCUGGUGUAUCAAAUAUGAUACUCAACAAAAAUCAUAUAUGCA